GAUGAACGCUGGCGGCGUGCCUAAUACAUGCAAGUCGAGCGAACGGACGAGAAGCUUGCUUCUCUGAUGUUAGCGGCGGACGGGUGAGUAACACGUGGAUAACCUACCUAUAAGACUGGGAUAACUUCGGGAAACCGGAGCUAAUACCGGAUAAUAUUUUGAACCGCAUGGUUCAAAAGUGAAAGACGGUCUUGCUGUCACUUAUAGAUGGAUCCGCGCUGCAUUAGCUAGUUGGUAAGGUAACGGCUUACCAAGGCAACGAUGCAUAGCCGAACUGAGAGGGUGAUCGGCCACACUGGAGCUGAGACACGGUCCAGACUCCUACGGGAGGCCGCAGUAGGGAAUCUUCCGCAAUGGGCGAAAGCCUUACGGAGCAACGCCGCGUGAGUGAUGAAGGUCUUCGGAUCGUAAAACUCUGUUAUUAGGGAAGAACAUAUGUGUAAGUAACUGUGCACAUCUUGACGGUACCUAAUCAGAAAGCCACGGCUAACUACGUG
rnacentral:rRNA from 1 species